rnacentral:rRNA from 1 species
UGCCUAAUACAUGCAAGUCGAACGCACCCUUUUCGACAGAAGGUGCUUGCACUGGAAGUUGAUUGACGUGAGUGGCGGACGGGUGAGUAACACGUGGGUAACCUGCCCUUAAGCGGGGGAUAACAUUUGGAAACAGAUGCUAAUACCGCAUAAAAGUUGAGAUCACAUGGUCUUAAUUUGAAAGACGGCCUUUGGCUGUCACUUAAGGAUGGACCCGCGGCGUAUUAGCUAGUUGGUGAGAUAAUAGCCCACCAAGGCGAUGAUACGUAGCCGACCUGAGAGGGUAAUCGGCCACAUUGGGACUGAGACACGGCCCAAACUCCUACGGGAGGCAGCAGUAGGGAAUCUUCCACAAUGGACGAAAGUCUGAUGGAGCAACGCCGCGUGAGUGAAGAAGGUUUUCGGAUCGUAAAACUCUGUUGUUGGAGAAGAACAGGGACUAGAGUAACUGUUAGUCCUUUGACGGUAUCCAACCAGAAAGCCACGGCUAACUACGUGCCAGCAGCCGCGGUAAUACGUAGGUGGCAAGCGUUGUCCGGAUUUAUUGGGCGUAAAGCGAGCGCAGGCGGUUUCUUAAGUCUGAUGUGAAAGCCUUCGGCUUAACCGAAGAAGUGCAUCAGAUACUGGGAAACUUGAGUGCAGAAGAGGAAAGUGGAACUCCAUGUGUAGCGGUGAAAUGCGUAGAUAUAUGGAAGAACACCAGUGGCGAAGGCGGCUUUCUGGUCUGUAACUGACGCUGAGGCUCGAAAGUAUGGGGAGCGAACAGGAUUAGAUACCCUGGUAGUCCAUACCGUAAACGAUGAAUGCUAAGUGUUGGAGGGUUUCCGCCCUUCAGUGCUGCAGCUAACGCAUUAAGCAUUCCGCCUGGGGAGUACGACCGCAAGGUUGAAACUCAAAGGAAUUGACGGGGGCCCGCACAAGCGGUGGAGCAUGUGGUUUAAUUCGAAGCUACGCGAAGAACCUUACCAGGUCUUGACAUCUAGCGCCAAUCCUAGAGAUAGGACGUUCCCUUCGGGGACGCUAAGACAGGUGGUGCAUGGUUGUCGUCAGCUCGUGUAGUGAGGUGUUGGGUUAAGUCCCGCAACAAGCGCAACCCUUAUGAUUAGUUGCCAGCAUUUAGUUGGGCACUCUAAGCAGACUGCCGGUGACAAACCGGAGGAAGGU